rnacentral:rRNA from 1 species
CUUGCCGUAGGGUCCACAAACUGAGUGAGUGUCGCAGCUAACGCGUUAAGCAGGGCGCCUGGGGAGUACGGCCGCAAGGCUAAAACUCAAAGGAAUUGACGGGGACCCGCACAAGCAGUGGAGCGCCUGGUUUAAUUCGAUGGUCAGCGAAGAACCUCACCUGGGCUUGAACUGUAGCUGCACACCUUGGGAAACCAGGGGAGCCUUCGAGGGUGCUACAGAGGUGAUGCAUGGCUGUCGUCAGCUCGUGUCGUGAGAUGUAGGGUUAAGUCCCGUAACGAGCGCAACUCUUAUCUGAUGUUAUAAUUUCUUCAGAGACUGCCCCGUUAUAGCGGGGAGGAAGGAGGGGAUGACGUCCAGUCAGCAUGUCCCUUAUGUCCAGGGCUACACAGACGCUACAAUGGCUAUUACAAUGGGCUGCCAAGCCGCGAGGUGGAGCGAAUCCCAUCAAAAAUAGUCUCAGUUCGGAUUGCAGGCUGAAAUUCGCCUGCAUGAAGUCGGAAUUGCUAGUAAUCGCGUAUCAGCAUGGCGCGGUGAUACGUUCUCGGGUCUUGUACACACCGCCCGUCAGGGCACGGGAGUUG